UGAGAAUCGUUGGCGUGGUGGAAGGAAAGUUGCAACUGUACAGAAUUCUUCUUCUCUUUCUCUGUGAUCAUGUUUGCAGCGUGGUGGUUGAAAGCGUGGUGGUGGAAGGAGAUACGUGAGCGCCAGAGAGGUACGUAAUUCACUAUUAAAAAUAGCCUAAACCCUUAAACGGAUCUGAUUAUCCGUCAACGAAUGUCAACAUCCGUUUAGGGUGAAACGGAUGUACGACAUCCGUUAAGGUCUGUCUUCUUCCUCCCACACACACACAAACCUCUACCAGAAACAUCAGAGCACAAAACGAAACGAAGCAAAACAACAAUCUCGCACAAACAGAGAAAAAAUCAAUACAAUCUUAAAUCCUAAAUCACAUACAUUUACAAACCAAGAAAUCAACAUAAUCAUGCACAAUGAAAACUAGCCUCUCGUUGACGGUAGAAACAAAAUGAAGCAACAACCACCGCGCCGCACCGCCGCACAUAACCGCUGGACCGCCGCACACACCAAAAGCUAACAAAGCAGAGGAAGAGAUGACUGGAAAAGUUGAAAACUUUUAGAAAAUGAAAGGUGGAGCGUGGUUGUGAGAAUGCGAAGGGAAGGGAGGUGGGGCUCUCUUUCGAAAGUAUGUGAAAGUGAAAGCUGAAGUAGAAAGUAAAGUAAAAAUUAGGGUUACUUAAUUAAAAGGGUUAAAAAAGUAAAAUAAAAAAAUAAAAAAAGGUUAAUUUUGUAAUUAGGGAAAAGUUAAAAAAAAAUGGGGAGGUGGAGGGAUCAAUGCUCCCAACUGAAUCUAAAGGUAAGUCUGUUUUUAUUUUAGUGGGCCUGUAUGAGUUUAGGAUCCAUGAGGUGACUUAUAAAUAUAAGGUCAAGGCCAACAACUAAGUACGCUCUAUUAAGUUCACAAUACUCAAUUAUAAUAAAUUCAAACAACAUUCAUUUGUGAGUAAAACCUCCUUCAACAGACACCUAACUUGAGCGUUGGAGUGCCUUUGCAGGUGCCUCUCCUCCUCGGUCAAGAUUAAAGUCCACCGAAUGACCAAUUCUGAAAACAAUUGAGCGGCCCAGACUGAAAGUAGACAAGUGAAGCACACAACUCAAAUGUCGAAGUCACGUCAGAAAGGCUAGUAUAUCAGUCCCAUAAAAUAUCUACUGAAACAAAAACUAUUCAGUGUUUUCUCCUAUUUUACAUUAUGUACAUUU
rnacentral:lncRNA from 1 species